rnacentral:rRNA from 1 species
GACGAACGCUGGCGGCGUGCUUAACACAUGCAAGUCGAACGGAAAGGCCCUGCUUUCGUGGGGGGCUCGAGUGGCGCAGGGGUGAGUAACACGUGAGUAACCUCCCCUUGACUUUGGGAUAACUUCAGGAAACUGGGGAUAAUACCGGAUAGGAGCUCCUGCCGCAUGGUGGGGGUUGGAGAGUUUCGGCGGUUGGGGAUGGACUCGCGGCUUAUCAGCUUGUUGGUGGGGUAGUGGCUUACCAAGGCUUUGACGGGUAGCCGGCCUGAGAGGGUGACCGGCCACAUUGGGACUGAGAUACGGCCCAGACUCCUACGGGAGGCAGCAGUGGGGAAUAUUGCACAAUGGGCGGAAGCCUGAUGCAGCAACGCCGCGUGCGGGAUGACGGCCUUCGGGUUGUAAACCGCUUUCGGCUGUGACGAAGCGUGAGUGACGGUAAUGGGUAAAGAAGCACCGGCUAACUACGUG